AUGGGGAUGUGGGAGAGAACCUGGGGUGUCAUCUUGUCUCAGGGGAAAUAGGAACAUCCCCAUGGCGCUGAAGAUGCCAGAGGUAGAUGCCACAAGCUCAGUGGGGAAAACUCCCCUGACAUCUGCCGUUGCCAAACAGGGCGUGUGCAGAAGAGAAGGCAGUUGUAGCUGGGGAGGUGAGGACCCCAUUAGGAAAGGAGAUGAGCGCAGCCUCUUUCCCUGAUGUCGCCCCCCCGUGCUCCCAGGGCUACUCAUUGUGAAAAUCCUCAAUGGUUGCUCCUGCUGGAAGGGGGAGAAACCCCAAGGAGCAUUUUGGGCACAGUCAGAACAAAUCACUUCUCAUUGCUGCAUCUUCCCUUGUUCCCCCAACAGAGUAAUUUCCGGCAGCUCUGUUCUCUUGGGGCUGGGAGGUGCUUUUCUGACUCUCUCUCCCGCAGCAAACAGGAAGGUCGGUCUCAGCAUGCAGCGUGGGUAUCUCAUCCUCACUGCUUUCCUGGGGCAACUGCUGGAAACCAUGGGACAGGUGUCUGUCACCCAGGAAGAAGGACAAGUCUCCGUGGAGCAGAGAAACACCUUCCAGACCAAUUGCACGUACCAGAGCUCCAACUUUUAUGGUUUGUUCUGGUACCAGCAGAAGAAGGGACAAGCCCCUCAACGGAUUUCCUAUCAAGCAGGAGCAGGCACCAAGCAGAACGGCCGUUUUACCACAGAGCUGAACACUUCAGAUAAAUCCAGCGUUCUGCAGCUGAAGGAAGUCGAGCUCUCUGACAGCGCCUUGUACCUCUGUGCUACUCAAGGAAGGUCUUCUGUCUGCUUGCAAGAGCAAGAAGCAAAGCAACCCAGAAAGAAAAGUUUAGCCCAGUGAUCCCCCUUGUGCCAGACAGAUGCUCAGCUUAGUGGAUGUUUCAUUGAAGCUCAGCUCCCUGGUGCAAACACAGCAGCAGCAUGCACCCACAGUUUUCUCUGCUUGCAAAGAAUACUU